rnacentral:rRNA from 1 species
CCCGUACUUGGUGUUACUGCGAAGGGGGGACGGAGAAGGCUAUGUUGGCCGGGCGACGGUUGUCCCGGUUUAAGCGUGUAGGUGUGUGUUCCAGGUAAAUCCGGUUCACUUUAACACUGAGGCGUGAUGACGAGGCACUACGGUGCUGAAGCAACAAAUGCCCUGCUUCCAGGAAAAGCCUCUAAGCAUCAGGUAACAUCAAAUCGUACCCCAAACCGACACAGGUGGUCAGGUAGAGAAUACCAAGGCGCUUGAGAGAACUCGGGUGAAGGAACUAGGCAAAAUGGUGCCGUAACUUCGGGAGAAGGCACGCUGACACGUAGGUGAAGUGAUUUACUCAUGGAGCUGAAGUCAGUCGAAGAUACCAGCUGGCUGCAACUGUUUAUUAAAAACACAGCACUGUGCAAACACGAAAGUGGACGUAUACGGUGUGACGCCUGCCCGGUGCCGGAAGGUUAAUUGAUGGGGUCAGCGCAAGCGAAGCUCCUGAUCGAAGCCCCGGUAAACGGCGGCCGUAACUAUAACGGUCCUAAGGUAGCGAAAUUCCUUGUCGGGUAAGUUCCGACCUGCACGAAUGGCGUAAUGAUGGCCAGGCUGUCUCCACCCGAGACUCAGUGAAAUUGAACUCGCUGUGAAGAUGCAGUGUACCCGCGGCAAGACGGAAAGACCCCGUGAACCUUUACUAUAGCUUGACACUGAACAUUGAGCCUUGAUGUGUAGGAUAGGUGGGAGGCUUUGAAGUGUGGACGCCAGUCUGCAUGGAGCCGACCUUGAAAUACCACCCUUUAAUGUUUGAUGUUCUAACGUGGACCCGUAAUCCGGGUUGCGGACAGUGUCUGGUGGGUAGUUUGACUGGGGCGGUCUCCUCCUAAAGAGUAACGGAGGAGCACGAAGGUUGGCUAAUCCUGGUCGGACAUCAGGAGGUUAGUGCAAUGGCAUAAGCCAGCUUGACUGCGAGCGUGACGGCGCGAGCAGGUGCGAAAGCAGGUCAUAGUGAUCCGGUGGUUCUGAAUGGAAGGGCCAUCGCUCAACGGAUAAAAGGUACUCCGGGGAUAACAGGCUGAUACCGCCCAAGAGUUCAUAUCGACGGCGGUGUUUGGCACCUCGAUGUCGGCUCAUCACAUCCUGGGGCUGAAGUAGGUCCCAAGGGUAUGGCUGUUCGCCAUUUAAAGUGGUACGCGAGCUGGGUUUAGAACGUCGUGAGACAGUUCGGUCCCUAUCUGCCGUGGGCGCUGGAGAACUGAGGGGGGCUGCUCCUAGUACGAGAGGACCGGAGUGGACGCAUCACUGGUGUUCGGGUUGUCAUGCCAAUGGCACUGCCCGGUAGCUAAAUGCGGAAGAGAUAAGUGCUGAAAGCAUCUAAGCACGAAACUUGCCCCGAGAUGAGUUCUCCCUGAGACUUUAGGUCUCCUGAAGGAACGUUGAAGACGACGACGUUGAUAGGCCGGGUGUGUAAGCGCAGCGAU